rnacentral:ncRNA from 1 species
AUGUUGUAUGAAAGGAGAGAAGGUUAGCACUCCCCUUGACAAGGAUGGAAGAGGCUCUCGGGCCUGCACAACACACAUAAGGUUAAGGCAUGUCCACCUACUUUGUGGCAUCUAACCAUCAUUUUUA